CAUUGGUGAGAAUCCAAUGCCCCGAAAACCCAAGGUUUCCUCCGCAAGGUUCGUCCACGGAGGGUGAGUCAGGGCCUAAGAUUAGGCCGAAAGGCGUAGUCGAUGGACAACAGGGCCCAGCUGGCCCAUGCGGCCGGAUGGGUUUGUGAACUUUGCAGAAGAG
rnacentral:ncRNA from 1 species